CUCCAAUUUUUUUUUUUUUUUUUUUUUUUUUUUAGUGCUUAAAAAUUCUUUAACAUUUUCAAUUAUUUCCCUCUCGCCAAUUGCAUUUAAUCCUUGGAGCACUUAUUUUUAUUUUUGCACUCUUAAUGAGUUCUUGAUCAUGUCGCUUCUGAAAGAAGUAAGCCUGCUUCACGUGGACUUGCCCUAUUGAGGAUCUUUCAGGUUUCUGUGAGGUGGAUUCUAAUCUACUGAUAGAGGAGUGUGUGCUGCAUGUCUCUACCCUAUAAGGCCCCUUCCUCUUGCUUCCUACUUCCUAUAUAGCUUACUCUUUCAAAGAAGAAACCAUUCAAAAAUGUUACCUCCUUCCUCAGGCCUUUAGAGCUAGGAGUUUUUACCAUUGUGUCUGUAGUGACUAAUGGGAGAGAAGUGUACGAAAUCGAAUCGCAGUCUUUCAAGAGCAGAAGGAUUUGCCUGCCACAAGAGGGCUAAAUGGUAACCCUCAAGUCCUCUUACUGAGCAAUUGUGUUUCUGUUCAAUAAGCUUUUUAAACUGCAUUUUCCUUGUAAGAACUUAUUUUCUUUUAAGUCAGUUCAUUUCUAUCAAAAAGAGUUCAACUAUAUGCCUUAAGCUGUUACUCAAUACAUGUUUGUGUUAUUUAUACCAUUUGAAAAAUUGAUAUAUAUGUGGGGUGGCAAAUGAGAUGAGUGAAGGCAGUUAGUACUAAUGAAUUACCUCUUAGUAAAUUCUUCUAAUUGAUUUCAUAGAGGUGUUUCAACCAGUUGUAGGCAUACACGUGGAAAUGUUCUUCCUUUUCUCAUAACUGCUAAUACCUAUACAAUGUCAAAUCCCCUUUGCUGGGUGGAAAUGAGUUCCUUGAAUAAAAAAAAAAUUCAGUUUGAUUCCAUCUUUUGAAGGUAACUUGUAUCUGAAUUUUACUGCAAUUAUAUUUCCAUCUAAUAUUGAUGUUCUAAAUAAUCCUUCUUACUCUAGCAUAAACAUAGAUGAGACUCAUACCUCUGGAUGGAAGCUAUGCGUGGUUUAUUCUCUUUCAAUUCCUUUCAUCUCCUCAGGGUUUUCUCUUUGUCUACUGAUGAGAAGAGGGGGAAAAAGAAAAGAAGAUUCCUCAUACCAGCACUCUUGGUGUCAAAGCAUUGUUAUUUGUCCUGGCUGUAUUCCAAUUCCUGAUCCACAUGUCUUGCUUCUGCAAUAGAAAGGUUUUGAACCGUAAGGUUGUCAACUACCCCUUCUUCAUUCCCAGCCAUAAUUGGACUAGAGGACAAAACCUGAAGUCUCAUCUAUCCAUCUCCUUGUCACUUGACAAGUAAAGGUAAGUUGAGACAAUCAGAUUCUCUAAUUCAGUAUUUAAAUUCACAUUUUAAGAAAGAAUUUUCUAAUUAGAAGUUAGAGGAGAAAAUAAUAUAGAGAGAUGCCUGAUUGUUCAGACUACAGUGUGUCAUGUGGAAGACAAAGUAAUGGGAAAACACAGCCUGUGAUCAAGCGGAAUAAGUCAAUUCAUAGUGUGUUGAGUAAAGCAGACAUAUACAUUGUCAGUAGAAACAUAUUAUCUGCAAAUGACUAGAUAAAGUUUGGUGAAUUUCUCCCUCCAGAGUGCCAUGAGCCAUUGAAUCUACAACUGCCCUCCUGCUCCAGACUCUUUGGCCUCCCCUAUUAUGUAUCCUAUUCUCAUAAAUCUUCAUGGAAACACCCUCAUAGCUUCACAUGUACCAUUAUAAUAAUAUCCGCCUACUUGAUUUAGUUUGACUGAUAUAUGUGCUUUGCAACCAAAAGGUUUUAUCUGAACUAGUAUCUUGAAAUAUGCAGUAGCUUGAAAAAAAAAUUGUUCAUGGAAACCGCACAUGAUCUAAUUUGGAAAAAGGUUGUUUGCAGAUGAAUGACAUUAGAGAUCUCAAGUUGAGAUCACCCUGUAUUAUCCUGCUGGUCCCCAAAUCCAAUGAGACAUGAUUUUAUGAAGACACAGACACAGGAGAAGGCUGUAUGGAGACAGAGGUUCCAUUAGAGUGGUGCAGCUAAAAGAAAUGUUUGGAGUCAAUCAGAACCUGGAAGAAGCAAAAAAGGAUUCUCCCCUAGAGCCUUUGAAAGGGGGGCCUCCCUGCUGACAACUUGAUGUUGAACUUCUCUCUAGAACUAUGAGAUAGUAAAUUUCUGUUAUUUUAAGCCACCAAAAUUGUGACAGUUUGCUGCAGCAACCC
rnacentral:lncRNA from 1 species